UACGAAGGGGGCUAGCGUUGUUCGGAAUUACUGGGCGUAAAGCGCACGUAGGCGGAUACUUAAGUCAGGGGGUGAAAUCCCGGGGCUCAACCCCGGAACUGCCUUUGAUACUGGGUAUCUCGAGUCCGGAAGAGGUGAGUGGAAUUCCGAGUGUAGAGGUGAAAUUCGUAGAUAUUCGGAGGAACACCAGUGGCGAAGGCGGCUCACUGGUCCGGUACUGACGCUGAGGUGCGAAAGCGUGGGGGAGCAAACAGG
rnacentral:rRNA from 1 species